rnacentral:lncRNA from 1 species
CUGGACCAUGGCUUUUGUCCAUUUUAAGUUCAUAAAUUGCCUUUAUAAUCUCAUCCGCAGUAAUAUCUGCAUCUAGUUCAUCAAAAACACAUUCAUUAUUAAUCACUUCGGGUCUCUUAUUGCUAUUCGGCGCACUUGAUACAAGUUCUUUGAAAUAUUCAAAAAAGUCAGUAAUGUUUAAAUCACAUUUCCUCUGAUUUUUUUCCCUAAAUAAUGAAUAAAAUUUUCUUGGAUUGUCUUUCUUUAGUUUACACAACAUAUAGCCUUCCUGUCGUUUGUAACUACAGUACGUUUGAGCUUGCAUUCAUACUUCUUGUAAGCUUUUUUGGCACUGUUCAAAUCUAUAUGACUAUUAAAUGUUUUUUUACCAUUAAAAGUAUGUAAUUUUUUUACAAUAAUUGGCAUAUAGCUCUUUACACUUCUGGUCAAACCAUGGUUUAUCAGUAUUUACUCUCUGAUUUUGGGAAUUUCGCUUUAAUUUCGCUUUUACUUUUGGCAUUUGUUUGAAAAAAGGAGCUGUCACAUUUGUUAAGCACUGAGUGAAGUUAUUUAUGCACAAGUCCAUACCAUCCUGAGACGCUAUGUCCAUAUUAGCUAUCGUUGAACUUAAAUCAUCAGCAUUAACUAGUAGGGCAUUAUAGCAU